rnacentral:rRNA from 1 species
GUGGGGAAUAUUGGACAAUGGGCGCAAGCCUGAUCCAGCCAUGCCGCGUGUGUGAAGAAGGCCUUCGGGUUGUAAAGCACUUUUGUCCGGGAAGAAAACCCUGGGGCUAAUACCCACGGGGAAUGACGGUACCGGAAGAAUAAGCACCGGCUAACUUCGUGCCAGCAGCCGCGGUAAUACGAAGGGUGCAAGCGUUACUCGGAAUUACUGGGCGUAAAGCGUGCGUAGGCGGUUUGUUAAGUCAGAUGUGAAAGCCCCGGGCUCAACCUGGGAACUGCAUUUGAUACUGGCGAGCUAGAGUACGGUAGAGGGUGGUGGAAUUCCCGGUGUAGCGGUGAAAUGCGUAGAGAUCGGGAGGAACAUCUGUGGCGAAGGCGGCCACCUGGACCAGUACUGACGCUGAGGCACGAAAGCGUGGGGAGCAAACAGGAUUAGAUACCCGAGUAGUCC